GACGAACGCUGGCGGCGUGCUUAACACAUGCAAGUCGAACGGAAAGGCCCUGCUUUUGUGGGGUGCUCGAGUGGCGAACGGGUGAGUAACACGUGAGUAACCUGCCCUUGACUGUGGGAUAACUUCAGGAAACUGGGGCUAAUACCGGAUAGGAGCUCCUGCUGCAUGGUGGGGGUUGGAAAUUUUCGGCGGUUGGGGAUGGACUCGCGGCUUAUCAGCUUGUUGGUGGGGUAGUGGCUUACCAAGGCUUUGACGGGUAGCCGGCCUGAGAGGGUGAACGGCCACAUUGGGACUGAGAUACGGCCCAGACUCCUACGGGAGGCAGCAGUGGGGAAUAUUGCACAAUGGGCGGAAGCCUGAUGCAGCAACGCCGCGUGCGGGAUGACGGCCUUCGGGUUGUAAACCGCUUUCGCCUGUGACGAAGCGUGAGUGACGGUACUGGGUAAAGAAGCACCGGCUAACUACGUG
rnacentral:rRNA from 1 species